rnacentral:rRNA from 1 species
GGCGUAGGUGGCCUAUCAAGUCGGAUGUGAAAUCUCCUGGCUCAACCGGGAGGGUGCAUUCGAAACUGAUGGGCUGGAGUGCAGCAGAGGGAGAUGGAAUUCCCGGUGUAGUGGUGAAAUGCGUAGAUAUCGGGAGGAACACUAGUGGCGAAGGCGGUCUCCUGGGAUGUAACUGACACUGAGGCCCGAAGGCGUGGGUAGCAAACAGGAUUAGAUACCCUGGUAGUCCACGCAGUAAACGAUGGAUACUAGGUAUGGGGAGUAUCGACCCUCUCCGUGCCGAGGCUAACGCUUUAAGUAUCCCGCCUGGGGACUACGGUUGCAAGACUAAA